CUCACCGCAACCGUCGCUACAUCACGGAACUUGGGGGGACCGGAUUUCACCCACAUCGGCGGAGGGAACGAGAGGGGUCGUCGUCAAUUUUCGCAUGGGCCAUGGCUGCGCAUCUUAGAGAUUAGCUUGGGCGCUUCAUCGAGCUCCUUGGAAGGUGAUCGUAGUUGUGUCACUCGAAAUUGGCUGCUAGCGCUGCCACAAUUGCUCACUGUCGAGCUGGGCGCCGCCGCGGGCCGCUACCCCACGUGGUCAGUGCCUCUGCGUUACGAUUUCGGUGAGAUCUUCCCAC
rnacentral:lncRNA from 7 species